CCCCCCUCCUCCCAUGAAAGCCCUCUCCUCCCCCUUGGAAAGCGACAAAGAUCCCCGAGGAGUUCUCCUUCUCCGCAGCGAUCUUGUCGCCGCCUGGUUCUUUCGGUUAUCUUGGUUCCCGUUGGCGGUGGACGGAACCGCACGGUCCUUCGAUCUCAAGAUCGUGAGGAGAAACUAAUCUUGGCGGCUCCGGAGGCCGCCUCUUAUUGGAUCAGGUAUCCGAUCGGGAAGCAGGCGGAGGAUUGCUUCGCUGCCGUGUUCGAGAUUCCGAAUCUUUCCAAUGGCCGGAGGGCCCGUGACCCGACCCAGGAAGAGCACGCUCGGCCCGAGAUUCCUUGCCCCGGUAAGCUCGAUUCACUUCUUGCAGCAGAUGAAUUGUACUCGUACUCGUGGCACAAAUCUUGAAGGUUUUCCGAGGGUUUUAGUCCCUUAAAGACGUGUUUGAAGAAACAUAGCUAAUAACUCUCAGAAUUAGAGACAAGAACCUUAGUAUCGCCCAGUAUAGAUUGGUGUUCAUUGCUUGGUUCGGUCAAUGUUGUGAGCUUAGGAAUGGUAAGCUUGGUUUCAGACAAGAUCGGGUGAAAUCACCCAGACUUAAUUCCUUGGUCUUAAGCAUGCACAUUCCCGAAGCUAUAAAUUUCAUGUAUAUAGAACUAUGGACCUCAGUAGGAAGAUCAAACAUUUGCUAAAGGCAAAUUUCCUGUUUGGUAUGUAUAAGUUUCAUGCACAUUCCCGUAACAUUCCUUUUUUACUUGAAGAAAAGGAAAUUCAAAGGAAAUAUCAGCAAUUGCUUUGUCUAAGAUAAGAGGCAUCUUAUUCUACAAAUUUUGUCAUGAAGAAUUACAACUCCACAUUACCACCAGAGUAUAACUAUAUAAGGAACUUGAAAAAGCAAAAAGAAAAUCGAGGCCUAAACUAACCUUUUCACAUAAUAUUUUGACCACCUUAUAUCCCAUAUGAGUUGUUAGAUAUGAACCAGUGUUCCUAUGCUGAUUUAUGAAGAAAUACAACAUGCUGUAUUUUGGUUGUUUUUAUGUAUACUCGUAUAGAGAACUACCACAAUAUAGUGUUUUUUUUUUUUUUGCUUCUGCUGUGACUUCUAAUACUCUGUGUUUGUCAAAAUUGUGAUACAAUCAUUUUAACAAAUGCCCUUCUAAAUUUCUGUUCUUAAUUUCAAGAUUGGUCUAGAACUUGGGAGAAAAACACUGGAAUUUGGUACCGUACUCAUCACACUUCAAAAAUUCAUCAAGUCACAAUUUCUUGGUCUCUUGAUACUGAAACCUGCUGCACUUGAAAGACCAAUAUGCAGAGGCCACAUUAACUGUACAUAUUGUGGCACUCCAUUAAUCCUAAUAGCAGAACACUGUUUAGAUUCAUAUUCUGCAUGGAAACUUUCAAACAUCUCAUGCUUUAGCUCCUUGGAUAAUUAAUAAGUCCACAUUAUAUAAGGAUGAAUAGCAACUAUGGAAUGUAUGGAUCGAGUUUCCUCCAUGUAUCAGGUGUGCCUUCUUGUACAUGUUCACAGAAGGAUUAAGACUUGGACUGGUAAUCCAUCAUGGUUGAAAAGUUUAUUCUCUCCUGAAGUCCAUUUAUUCAUGUCUUUCAUAUUCAAAAUCUUACAAAAUGAACUGAUCAGGAUCAUUUGGGUGUUCUUUUUAUGUGGAUAGAGUAUUAGCAUCGUCAAGCUUCAGUGGAGCCAACCUCCAUGAAUUGUGACUAAAAAAAAACCUAUGCCAAGUAAUCCAGUCCUAGUGGAGGGUAAUCUAAAUUAUAAUGCCCCAGCCCUAGCUAGAAGCUAGGAGUGAUGCAAUGCUGUAAUCCCCGUAAGAAAACCUUGUGAGAAUUACAAGGUCUAAACCUGCACAAAUUAUAUGUUUCAUGUAUAUAUCCUUUAAGUCAUGCUCAAUCAUAUGUACAUGAAAUAUGUCACCUGUUCAUGUUUAGGCCUUGUGGAUUGCGGUGUUGUACCACUCCUAGCUUCUAGCUAGGGCUCGUGCGUUACGAUUGAUGGUACCAGAAUUGCUAGGUUUGUGGAACACUUUCUACCAAGUAUGUCAGUACCAAUUUAUGUAUCAUCAGGUGAGUUGAAUUUAAGACAAAGAAGUAGAACUCUUGAAAAAUUAUGAGCGAGGAGGUUUAGUGUUGGACCAUUCAUUGAGCAUUGUGCAUUUGUGUGUUCGUGUGCAUAUGUUUAUAUAUGAGUGUACAUAUACACACGUAUAAAAGUGUAUUGGUUUUCCUCCCUCCUAAUUUUAGCAUGAUUGUGGUGACAUAUGAGACCAUGCCCACAAGACAUACUUGUCCAUCCACUGGUUGACGAGGUGUUGUAGGAUGCAAAAUGUCAUUCUUUGGUUUUAUGUAGCUUGGAAUUGUCCAAAUGAAACCUUUAAAUGCAUUAAUUAGUUAACAUUCCUAGUCUGACUAAUUGUAUUUGCCUCAAAGGGGAACGGCUAAUCAGUAAAGAAUUUGGCUUAUUGUAAAUCAGUUUUCAUGCCCGUUUUCUUUUCCCCUAUGAUUUCCAUUUUAUCAUGGAAGAAGAGAUAUUAAGAUGUUUACUUAUCCUCAGUUUGUGUUGGUGGUGAGUGCUGAGUGGUGAUGGCAGCUGCAUAGGUUGGUGUUGGUCGCAUUAGAAAGAGGCAAUGGUAACAAUAAAUGGUGGUUGUGAUGCAGCUUUGAAGGUGGGUCAACCAUGUCCAUAAGUAUUCUUUUUCUUGUUGUAGCUUUUCCAAAUUUAAUUCAGGAUCAUUCUCUGCAAGUAAAGAGGGUGGCAACCAAUUUGCAAUGUAUCUUUGACUGCCAAUUAUUAUUGUUUAUAUUCUUUCCAUCACCAUAUUGACUACCAUUUCUUCUUACUUGAGGGAAGCAGCACACAACAAGUGCAUGGUAAAAGCGCCAGAGGCGAAAGCUGGGAUGUAUCGAGUAAGGCCGCUGUCGGUUAUAGACAUGGAUGUGAUUCGAUGACAUGUUAGAUUAUGAAGGUGACUGAUAUCUUCUUGAUGCUUUCUUGGGCAGACAUGUCUUUGGGUCAUCACCACCCCGACAAAAGAGGAGGAGGAGAAGGGAGAACGCCAUCACCGAUUCGUGUGUGUUCUUCACCCAACUAUUAGUGGUACAUAAGCAGGCUUUUCCUAAGGCAGAACACUCGACAUCUUCGUUCCUACGCUUCAGAUAUCAAUCGACCUCGCAGCCGUUCACAGCCUUCGGACGGAUCGGGCGACAACAGCAGAGCAGUCGGCGGUGGCGGUAACGCCGGCCUCGUGACGCGGCUUCUUCAUCUCCCUCGUCGACAAGUCCGCCGGCACCGACCUCGUCGCCCUCUCCGUCCUCUUCGGGUUCCGCCCGUUCUCGAGGUCCACCGCGACGCCGGGUUCCUCGGCCAGCGUGGUCUCAUCCUUCCUCCUCCUCUGCAGCCUCUCGUUCCUCCGCGCCGAGUAGAGCUCGUAGAACCGUCCUCGUUCGAACACGGCGGGCGCGGUUGCCGCAUCAGGGACGCCGUCACCGCCCCCGGCUCCCAGGACCAGCUUCGCCAACAAGUCCGACGAGAUGCAGACCGGGGACUCGGUCCAGGGAUGCGGUUUCUUAGGGUCCUCCGCUGGAGGAGUAGAUGGAGAAAGAACCGAAUUAACGCUCCGUGUUAGGACCGGGCGGCUCGGUUUGGUGGCACCCGGCGGGGCCCGGCCCGACUGGCUUCGGCGGGGGCGAAGGCGGCGUGGGGGCACCGCGAGCGACGGCCGACUUCGAUGCAUCGGGAAUUCCAGAUGCUGCCGCUCCUGCUGUACCAGGUUCAUGUCACACCUCAUAUCUCUCUCUCUCUCUCUCCCUCUCCCUCUCCCUCUGAGCGGCUGGGUGGAGGAGAGGACGAUGGCGGAGGAUUUAUGUGACGCCGGACUGCUUCUUGUGUCAUUUAGUUAUAAUACCUAAUCUUUUUAGGGGUCAAAAAUAGGGAGUCAGUUACGGGGCCAAUCUCGAAGACUUUGGAACGUACUCGUCCUUAUCGGAUAAGAAGCGACUGCCAACGAUAAGCUUAUCGGCCGAUAAGCAAGAGUCUUUGACCUGUCGUUAUAACCUAUGCGAUACUGAUAUCACCCAUGCAGACAAGCACCUCCACAUUAUUCGUUUGGUUAAUUACAUAUUCUUCCCUAUAAUUAGUUAUUUUUAAUAUUUCAAUAUUUUUAAUAUUUUUAUUUUUUAAAAAAUUAUAUUAGUAUCUUUAUAAUUAUGAAAGUAAAAUAUAUAGAUCAAUUUACUUUAAUAACGUUAAUUUUUUUGAUAAAAAUAUGAAAAUAAAGAGUAAAAUUUUUUUUUAGCGUUGUGGCAGACGAUGUCGAUGGUGGCUGAUGAUGACGUCGUUGGCAUCGGCACUGAUGCAAUUACUUGACCAUCUUCGAUGAUGAUAAGAUCUACUCUCAUCGCAACGUCACCUACCUCCACAACAAGCGCGUUAUUAACCUCAUCGUUGUUCGUCUCGCGUCGCUCUACAUCGAUGCAAAUGGUGGUGGUCGUCACGAUGUUUAUGGCAAAGAUGGUGGUCGCCUUAUCGUUGAUCCGACGGAUAGAUCGUAGCCUCGACCCCUCCCCCUUUGUAGUUGUGUUGGCAUCUACGUAGAUGCUGAGCGAUCGCUGCACUAAACAUCAUGCUUGAAAAUAGAGGGCCUAACCACCAACCUCCUCUACCUCCACCAGAGCAAUCUGUCGAUCGUGCACACUAACCUCAAACUCUCCAGCAUUCUGCUUGGCUUACACUUCAAGUCCUACCUCGCCGACUAUGCUCUCAUCCCGUCCCUCCUCCUCUGGCCUCACCUCACGACCACAUUACCCCCUCCUCUUUUGCUGCAUCCUCCUACCUUGCCGACUAUGCUCUCAUCCUGUCCCUCCUCCUCUGGCCUCACCUCAUGACCUCAUUACCCCCUCCUCUUUUACCACCCUCCUCCCUCACCAAUAAGACCCCCUUCCAAGACCUGGUGGGAGAGUGCGACGGCAACAUCCCUCGAUGGGUCCGCUCUAUGGAGAGGAGUGAAAUGACUCCGAUGAGGAUCCCAGGUUGUCCAUGAAUGAGACAUGUGUAGCGAUCAAGGUGGAAAAACAAUCGUUGAUGCAGGAGGUGCUAUGGAUGAUUAGGGAGGCAUUGACGAAUGUAAUUGUCUUAUCCAAUCGCAACGAUCACUUGUCGACGAGGUGGUCGAACACGAUGUAGAGCUUACCGAGAGAGCAUGGAUCGGAGGGUGAUGGUUGCUCGGUCGACAAAGAUACAAAAGGAGAAAGGUCCACCACCACCGAUGCCAUCGACGUCAUCUAUCAUCACCGAACGAUAAAAUUAAUUUUUUACCUUAUAUUUUUAUAUUUUCAUCGAUAAAACUAAUGUCGUCAGGGUAAAUAGACUUAAUUGUUUCACUUUCAUAAUUAUAGAAAUAUCAAUAUAACUUUUCAAGAAAUUUAAUCAAUAGCUUUUCAUUAUUUGAAGCAAAAAAUACUUCGAAUUUCCUUCUUUUCUUUGAUGUGAUUCAGUUUCAAAUAUACAGGAAGGCAAAUUCCAAUCGGCCG
rnacentral:lncRNA from 1 species